GAAUACAUGACGACUGGUGAUGAAUACAUGACGACCACAGCCUCUGCCGUGAGGACACACAACAGGUUUAGGCCGUUUGUCAAUGUUGGUCAUUGACAAAUAUCUUUGAUCUGGACAAUCAGCUUUGUUCACUCUUUGUCCAACAUUUGAAAACCCACAAUUCAGAACGCUCUGUUUUGUAUGCUAUCGAGGUUCUGCGUUCUUUCACCUGACAUGCGGACAUUCACCCUUAACCAAAAGUACAACGGGCAAAUAUAGGUAGCUAUAAUUCCUAAUAAUAUCAACAUAGUAGACCUUAACCCGGGUAGGUGACCCAAGGGGACCGCGUCACACACACGAGGACCCCGCGUUCCGCCUCCUGCAGGUUGAUUGGUGGAGGUUGGGUGGAGGUUUGUUGGUUGGGUGGAAGUUUGGCGGACUUCGACCACACCACAGAGGAAACACGUUCUUGCAGGUUUGCAGUGUAAUUGCAGCGGCCCGUGAAUUAAACCCGUGAGUUACACAUUUUAUUCAUCACCAUGUCUAAAAACGGCCAGACAAUCAGCAGAGAGACGUGGGACUCCCACAACGCCAUGAUGCUGGAGCCUCUGGCCACCAACGACUCUGAGGUGUUCUCCAUCAUCAAGCAGGAGAAGCACCGGCAGACGUACGGUCUGGAGCUGAUCGCUUCGGAGAACUUCGCCAGCCGAGCGGUUCUGGAGGCGCUGGGCUCCUGCAUGAACA